rnacentral:rRNA from 1 species
CCUACGGGGGGCAGCAGUGGGGAAUAUUGCACAAUGGGGGAAACCCUGAUGCAGCGACGCCGCGUGAAUGAAGAAGUAUUUCGGUAUGUAAAGCUCUAUCAGCAGGGAAGAAGAAAGACGGUACCUGACUAAGAAGCCCCGGCUAACUACGUGCCAGCAGCCGCGGUAAUACGUAGGGGGCAAGCGUUAUCCGGAUUUACUGGGUGUAAAGGGAGCGUAGACGGCUGUGCAAGUCUGAAGUGAAAGCCCAGGGCUCAACCCUGGGACUGCUUUGGAAACUGUGGAGCUAGAGUGCUGGAGAGGUAAGUGGAAUUCCUAGUGUAGCGGUGAAAUGCGUAGAUAUUAGGAGGAACACCAGUGGCGAAGGCGGCUUACUGGACAGUAACUGACGUUGAGGCACGAAGGCCAGGGGAGCGAAAGGGAUUAGAUACCCCAGUAGUC